rnacentral:rRNA from 1 species
UGGGGAAUAUUGGGCAAUGGGCGCAAGCCUGACCCAGCAACGCCGCGUGAAGGAAGAAGGCUUUCGGGUUGUAAACUUCUUUUGUCGGGGACGAGUAGAAGACGGUACCUGGCAAAUAAGCCACGGCUAACUACGUGCCAGCAGCCGCGGUAAUACGUAGGUGGCAAGCGUUGUCCGGAUUUACUGGGUGUAAAGGGCGUGUAGCCGGGAAGGCAAGUCAGAUGUGAAAUCCACGGGCUUAACUCGUGAACUGCAUUUGAAACUACUUUUCUGAGUAUCGGAGAGGCAAUCGGAAUUCCUAGUGUAGCGGUGAAAUGCGU